AGAGUUUGAUCCUGGCUCAGGACGAACGCUGGCGGCGUGCCUAAUACAUGCAAGUCGAACGAGAGCGACCGGUGCUUGCACUGGUCAAUCUAGUGGCGAACGGGUGAGUAACACGUGGGUAACCUGCCCAUCAGAGGGGGAUAACAUUCGGAAACGGAUGCUAAAACCGCAUAGGUCCUUUAACCGCAUGGUUGAAGGAGGAAAAGAGGCGCAAGCUUCUGCUGAUGGAUGGACCCGCGGUGCAUUAGCUAGUUGGUGGGGUAACGGCUCACCAAGGCCGUGAUGCAUAGCCGACCUGAGAGGGUGAUCGGCCACAUUGGGACUGAGACACGGCCCAAACUCCUACGGGAGGCAGCAGUAGGGAAUCUUCCGCAAUGGACGCAAGUCUGACGGAGCAACGCCGCGUGAGUGAAGAAGGUUUUCGGAUCGUAAAACUCUGUUGUUAGAGAAGAACAAGUGCUAGAGUAACUGUUAGCGCCUUGACGGUAUCUAACCAGAAAGCCACGGCUAACUACGUGCCAGCAGCCGCGGUAAUACGUAGGUGGCAAGCGUUGUCCGGAUUUAUUGGGCGUAAAGCGAGCGCAGGCGGUUCCUUAAGUCUGAUGUGAAAGCCCCCGGCUCAACCGGGGAGGGUCAUUGGAAACUGGGGAACUUGAGUGCAGAAGAGGAGAGUGGAAUUCCAUGUGUAGCGGUGAAAUGCGUAGAUAUAUGGAGGAACACCAGUGGCGAAGGCGACUCUCUGGUCUGUAACUGACGCUGAGGCUCGAAAGCGUGGGUAGCAUACAGGAUUAGAUACCCUGGUAGUCCACGCCGUAAACGACGAGUGCUAAGUGUUGGAGGGUUUCCGCCCUUCAGUGCUGCAGUUAACGCAUUAAGCACU
rnacentral:rRNA from 1 species